CCUACGGGUUGCAGCAGUGAGGAAUAUUGGUCAAUGGGCGAGAGCCUGAACCAGCCAAGUAGCGUGAAGGAUGACUGCCCUAUGGGUUGUAAACUUCUUUUAUAAAGGAAUAAAGUGUUCCACGUGUGCCCUUUUGUAUGUACUAUAUGAAUAAGGAUCGGCUAACUCCGUGCCAGCAGCCGCGGUAAUACGGAGGAUCCGAGCGUUAUCCGGAUUUAUUGGGUUUAAAGGGAGCGUAGAUGGAUUGUUAAGUCAGUUGUGAAAGUUUGCGGCUCAACCGUAAAAUUGCAGUUGAUACUGGCAGUCUUGAGUACAGUAGAGGUAGGCGGAAUUCGUGGUGUAGCGGUGAAAUGCUUAGAUAUCACGAAGAACUCCGAUUGCGAAGGCAGCUUACUGGACUGCAACUGACAGUGAUGCUCGAAAGUGUGGGUAUCAAACAGGAUUAGAUACCCUGGUAGUC
rnacentral:rRNA from 1 species